GGGUGCGUAACACGUGGGAAUCUACCCAAAAGUGGGGGAUAGCUCCCUGAAAGGGGAAUUAAUACCGCAUAAAGCCGAGAGGCAAAAGCCGAAAGGUGCUUUUGGAUGAGCCCGCGACCUAUCAGCUUGUUGGUGAGGUAAGAGCUUACCAAGGCUAAGACGGGUAGCUGGUCUGAGAGGACGACCAGCCACACUGGGACUGAGACACGGCCCAGACACCUACGGGUGGCAGCAGUCGAGAAUCUUUCACAAUGGGGGAAACCCUGAUGGAGCGACGCCGCGUGGAGGAAGAAGGCCUUCGGGUCGUAAACUCCUGUCACCAGGGAAAAAGAAAGUGAUGGUACCUGGAGAGGAAGGGACGGCUAACUCUGUGCCAGCAGCCGCGGUAAUACAGAGGUCCCAAGCGUUGUUCGGAUUUACUGGGCGUAAAGGGUGUGUAGGCGGUAAUUUAAGUCAGGUGUGAAAGUCUAGCGCUUAACGGUAGGAAUGCACUUGAAACUGGAAGACUAGAGUGCCGGAGAGGAAAGCGGAAUUCCUGGUGUAGCAGUGAAAUGCGUAGAUAUCAGGAGGAAGACCAAGGGCGAAGGCAGCUUUCUGGAAGGUAACUGACGCUGAAACACGGAGGCCAGGGGAGCGAACGGGAUUAGAUACCCCGGUAGUCCUGGCAGUAAACGGUGUGCAUUAGGUGUUGGGGGAAUCGACCCCUUCAGUGCCGGAGCAAACGCGAUAAAUGCACCGCCUGGGAAGUACGGUCGCAAGAUUAAAACUCAAAGAAAUUGACGGGGGCCCCCACAAGCGGUGGAGUAUGUGGCUUAAUUCGAUACAACGCGAAGAACCUUACCUGGGCUUGACAUGCAGAGUUCAAUACUGGAAACAGUAUGCCCGCAAGGGGAUCUGUGCAGGUGCUGCAUGGCUGUCGUCAGCUCGUGUCGUGAGAUGUUGGGUUAAGUCCCGCAACGAGCGCAACCCCUAUGAUUAGUUAGACGCUACGGCUCACUAGUCAGACUGCCCUGUUUAACGGGGAGGAAGGUGGGGAUGACGUCAAGUCAGUAUGGCCCAUAUGCCCAGGGCUGCACACGUACUACAAUGCCCACUACAAAGGGAAGCAAGACCGCGAGGAGGAGCAAAACUCAGAAAAGUGGGCGCAGUUCGGAUUGGAGGCUGCAACUCGCCUCCAUGAAGCUGGAAUCGCUAGUAAUGGCGCAUCAGCCACGGCGCCGUGAAU
rnacentral:rRNA from 1 species